UGGACGAUACCGUCUGUCACGGGUGCGCAGUUUGCGCUCCUCCCUCCUCUUGCGUUUCUGCGUGAGAAUUGGGGGGUGGAGGUGCGGGUUGACGCUCGUGGUUGGUUAGUCUGGCGUUGGCCUGCGGGUGCGGCGCGAAUGCUUACUUCUUAGAGGGACAAGCGGGAGAAGCCGCGCGAGAUAGAGCAAUAACAGGUCUGUGAUGCCCUUAGAUGUCCGGGGCCGCACGCGCGCUACAAUGACGGUGUCAACGAGUGGGACCUUCUGGCCCGAGAGGGUUGGGCAAACUGGUCAAUCACCGUCGUGACAGGGAUCGGGGCUUGGAAUUGUUCCCCGUGAACGAGGAAUUCCUAGUAAGUGCAGGUCAUAAGCUUGCGCUGAUUACGUCCCUGCCCUUUGUACACACCGCCCGUCGCUACUACCGAUUGAGUGGUUUAGUAAGAUCCUUGGAUCGGCGUCAUUGUGGCAGUUGCCGGAAGGUCAUUGUCCUGCAGUCGCUGAGAAGACGACCAAACUUGAUCAUUUAGAGGAAGUAAAAGUCGUAACAAGGUUUCCGUAGGUGAACCUGCGGAAG
rnacentral:rRNA from 1 species